rnacentral:rRNA from 1 species
CGUGCAUGAGCGUCAGUAUUGGCCCAGGGGGCUGCCUUCGCCAUCAGGUAUUCCUCCACAUCUCUACGCAUUUCACUGCUACACGUGGAAUUCUACCCCCCUCUGCCAUACUCUAGCCCAGCCAGUCACAAAUGCAGUUCCCAGGUUAAGCCCGGGGAUUUCACAUCUGUCUUAGCGGACCGCCUGCGCACGCUUUACGCCCAGUAAUUCCGAUUAACGCUUAGCACCCUACUGUAUUACCGCGGCUGCUGGCACGUAGUGUAGCCGGUGCUUAUUCUUCCGGUACCGUCAUCCUCCCGCCGUAUUAGGGCAGAAGUGUUACUAUCCGGACAAAAGUGCUUUACAACCCGAAGGCCUUCUUCACACACGCGGCAUUGCUGGAUCAGGCUCUUCGCCCAUUGUCCAAAAUUCCCCACUGCUGCCUCCCGUAGGAGUCUGGGCCGUGUAUCUGUCCCAGUGUGGCUGGUCGUGCUCUCAGACCAGCUACAGAUCGUCGCCUAGGUUGGCCUAUACCCCACCAACUAGCUAAUCUGCCA